CAUGGUCUUGACUCACAUUUGGAUAAAAAAGUAUUUAGUAAUAAAUUGUAACACAUAUGAAAUCCUAACAUGUCCUCUUUAAAUCUUCAUGCCUAUUGUUUUCAGGUAUUGAAAAAUGUAGUCUACCAUACGGAUUAGAAACACAAAAAAGGUAAAGUAGAAAUCUAGAAUAGACUCAUGAACU